rnacentral:rRNA from 1 species
UACGUAGGGGGCAAGCGUUGUCCGGAAUUAUUGGGCGUAAAGAGCGUGUAGGCGGUCCGGUAAGUCAGCUGUGAAAGUCAAGGGCUCAACCCUUGAAAGCCGGUUGAUACUGUCGGGCUAGAGUCCGGAAGAGGCGAGUGGAAUUCCCGGUGUAGCGGUGAAAUGCGCAGAUAUCGGGAGGAACACCGGUGGCGAAGGCGGCUCUCUGGACCACAACUGACGCUGAGGCGCGAAAGCUAGGGGAGCAAACAGG